GGGGAUUUAGUUCAGUGGUAGAGCACUUGCCUAGCAAGCGCAAGGCCCUGGGUUCGGUUCCCAGCUCCG
rfam:Rattus norvegicus chromosome 12, whole genome shotgun sequence.